UACAGAGGGUGCGAGCGUUAAUCGGAAUUACUGGGCGUAAAGCGCGCGUAGGCGGUUUGUUAAGUCGGAUGUGAAAUCCCCGGGCUCAACCUGGGAAUUGCAUUCGAUACUGGCAAGCUAGAGUAUGGGAGAGGAAGGUAGAAUUCCAGGUGUAGCGGUGAAACGCGUAGAGAUCUGGAGGAAUACCGAUGGCGAAGGCAGCUUACCACACAGUUAUUGACACUGAGGCACGAAAGCGUGGGGAUCAAACAGG
rnacentral:rRNA from 1 species